rnacentral:rRNA from 1 species
AGCAGUGGGGAAUAUUGCACAAUGGGGGAAACCCUGAUGCAGCCAUGCCGCGUGUGUGAAGAAGGCCUUCGGGUUGUAAAGCACUUUCAGUAGGGAGGAAGGUAGUCGUAGUUAACACCUGCAUUAUUUGACGUUACCUACAGAAGAAGCACCGGCUAACUCCGUGCCAGCAGCCGCGGUAAUACGGAGGGUGCGAGCGUUAAUCGGAAUUACUGGGCGUAAAGCGCAUGCAGGCGGCCUGUUAAGUCAGAUGUGAAAGCCCGGGGCUUAACCUCGGAAUUGCAUUUGAAACUGGCAGGCUAGAGUCUUGUAGAGGGGGUAGAAUUUCAGGUGUAGCGGUGAAAUGCGUAGAGAUCUGAAGGAAUACCAGUGGCGAAGGCGGCCCCCUGGACAAAGACUGACGCUCAGACUGCGAAAGCGUGGGGAGCCAAACAGGAUUAGAUACCCCUGGUAG